UAUGUAAAUACACAUGAAUAAACAUAUAAUCAUAUUAGGAAAUCAGUGACUAAAAGUUUCAGGCCUUUGUGACUGACCAGCAUAACGGGUAAUCCGAGAUACCAGAAGUGUUCCCAGUAUUACCUGAAAUGCUAAAAAGCUGAUUUUAUCCUAGCCACAACCACAUUACAUCUACAAGAUAUAUAAUAUUUAUGAAAAGGCUUCUAUUACUGCUGCAAUCUGCCCGGCAUGAGAGCGCAGUACUGCUGGGAGCAGUAAAAGAAUCUGUCAGAGACCAUGUGAAGUUGAUCCUGACUAGGGUAACAGUUCUCUCUUCUCUGGAGAACAAGUUUAGGUCUGUGACGACAAAUAGGGGACAUGGGGAUCAUCUGACCCAUUCAGGCAGUUAACUUUUCACAAGCAGGCAGUUCUCACUGAAAAUGCUCACAAACUCUCCUCUCAUAAAAUGAACAUAACAAAUGAAACACCUCUACUCCGACAAAGUGGACCACACUGCCUUACAAAAUCCAGUUUUUUGUAUCAAAAGAGAAUUGAGAGAAAAGGGGCAACAACUGCCAGUGAUACGCCUCUCUCCUCGCCCACGCCAGCCCCUCUCAGAGACAAUAGACAGAUUUGGCUGCAGCUGGCUGGUGAGCCAACAGAAACCUGAACACCUGUGGACUGGGUGUGCGCAGCUGCAGCGUGCCAGGGUUGAAGUACCGAUCGUGUGAGCCACGCAUGUGAGGAAUGUUCAAAGAUGAAGCCUUUGGGGGUGGGUGAAAGAGAAGUUCCACCAGAACCCAGUUACUUACUUUUACUCAAGGGCCCCCAAAAGUCUUCCGUAUGGUUGGAGCUGCUUACAGUACUAAUCAGACCGUAUGCCUGGAGAAUUAAUUGCCUUCUGAGGAUGCGCUUGACCAUAGUUUGCAGUGUUGUUGCAUUCAGUUUUUGUGUUACCUCUGUGAUUCUUAUUCAUAAGAAUAAUUAAUUCAUGUAACGGCCUAUUCUAUUCCUGAGUAGAUACAGAAAAUACCUAAUGAAUCAUUGAACUGCUUCUUUUUGAAUUAAUUUCCAUACUGUACUCAAUAUGUAAAAUAACAUCUACCUAUUAUUAGCCACAGCAAGUGAGUGUAAUGCAGAAUCUUAUGGGCAGAUAUUUCACGGAGAUGCUUUUGUUGUGAAUGAUAUAGAUCUGUUCAGACCAUUCUUCCUACCCAAAGUUACACAAGCUUUAGCAAAUUAGAGAACUGGUCUUUUCCAAAUCUGAAAUACUAAAUUCUUAUAACUUGUUAUAAUGGGUAAGGGUUGACUACUUUACCAAAAUUUAUUUGAAGCUGCUCUGAGAAAACUCUACCAUCCAGAAAUGACCCUUGGAGAUUUCAGCUCAGGAAGAUGAGCUCUUGAAUUAAGAAAUUAGGAUAGCAGCAACUGCAUGGUGAAAAUUUAAUUCCAGCAUAUUUGUAUCCCUAAAAAUGACUUAUUCACUAGACAUGUGGUUCAACCUGGCUGGCUAAGCACUUUGGCCUCAGAGCUUCUUUUAAUUGCCCCUUCAGAAUCUCCUUCACCCGUGUUACUAGGUGUACCAAGAUGCACAUAGGUCUCAUUACUUCUAGAGAUGUGCUCAGUGUUCCCAGUUCUUGCAAAGAGUUCUUAGGAAAGGGGACAGUUAAAACAGGUCAUUACCUCCAGAACAGUUUAUUCAGUCAGACUUUUUCUUAGGAAUGCUUAGAAAUAUCCAGGGAAUAGGCUGAAGACCUGCCAGCAUUCCCGUGGACCUGCAAUAUCUUGCUGGAUGUGUGGAAAGUCAGGGGCUCUUGAGCCCCUGAAAAAUGCCAGAGGCAAGGUAUGGGAUAGAUUAACUGUCUUGGUGACUACAUAUGUCACAUGAAUGUCGACUGGACAGUGUGAGACUGUCUGUUUUUAUACUAUUACUUCAGACUCUUAAAUAAGUUGCAUGGACUAGCUGACUGCUCCAAGGCAGAAGCAUGAGCACAGCUAUACUUUUUUUUCCUGGUGGGAAACUGACUGUGGAUUUAUUCUUUAUAUAUUUUUUUAUAUAUAUAUCCCCCCCACCCCGGAGAAAAUAUCUGUAAAGCUGUUGUUCGUGGUGAAAGUUUGCUGUAUUCAAAACAAAAGAAAUUUAGAACUUGAACAUUACAAGGUGCUUUGGAGUGUGUGUGUUUACUAUGUUCUCCACAUGGCAGUGUGGCAUUUAUGGCUUCUGGGAAGCUGGCACUUCUGAAUACCAGAUACCCUUGUUUGUCCCACAAA